GAAGCGAGGAAUGUGUUGGUUUUGUUAAUAAUUUUUUCGCGGAUUUUAUGACUUAUAAGGAUAUGGGUAUGGGUAGUUACCGAGCUUUAAAGGAGUUGAGUUUAAACAGAGAAGCUUCGAUAGCGGCGGCUAACCGAUCGAAAGAAAAAAAAUAUGACUUAAGAGAAACACUCGGAAAUUUAACUCGAGGUACAUUAUCAGUCGAAUUCGGUGGGCUAAAAAAACAAUUUUGAGUUUGUAUGCGUCGGGUUUUUUUUCGCGUUGUUUCGAGAUCGAAUUUCGACGAAAAUCGUGGAAAUGACGGCCAUCCAAAACGCGUAUACCCACAACCGAACUCCGCUCAG